rnacentral:rRNA from 1 species
CAGCCGCCGCGGUAAUGCGUAGGUGGCAAGCGUUGUCCGGAAUUAUUGGGCGUAAAGGGCUCGCAGGCGGUUUCUUAAGUCUGAUGUGAAAGCCCCCGGCUCAACCGGGGAGGGUCAUUGGAAACUGGGAAACUUGAGUGCAGAAGAGGAGAGUGGAAUUCCACGUGUAGCGGUGAAAUGCGUAGAGAUGUGGAGGAACACCAGUGGCGAAGGCGACUCUCUGGUCUGUAACUGACGCUGAGGAGCGAAAGCGUGGGGAGCGAACAGGAUUAGAUACCCCAGUAGUCCCUGUCUCUUAUAA